UGCUUGUCUCAAAGAUUAAGCCAUGCAUGUCUAUGCACAAGCCGAAUACGGUGAAGCCGCGAAUGGCUCAUUACAACAGCCACUGUUUACUUGAUUCUGAUUAUCCUACUUGGAUAACUGUGGUAAUUCUAGAGCUAAUACAUGCAACCAAGCUCCGACCGUAAGGAACGAGCGCAUUUAUUAGAACAAAACCAAUCGGGCUUCGGCCUGAGGUUUGGUGAAUCUGAAUAACUGAGCAGAUCGCUACGUUCUUGUACCGGCGACGCAUCUUUCAAGUGUCUGCCUUAUCAACUUUCGAUGGUAGUUUAUGUGCCUACCAUGGUUGUAACGGGUAACGGAGAAUAAGGGUUCGACUCCGGAGAGGGAGCCUGAGAAACGGCUACCACAUCCRAGGAAGGCAGCAGGCA
rnacentral:rRNA from 1 species